GCUGAAGGCCAGCAGCAGCAGGUCUUCAUCACUGAAGGAUUGUGGGUAAAGCUGAAGGCCAGCAGCAGCAGGUCUUCAUCACUGAAGGAUUGUGGGUAAAGCUGAAGGCCAGCAGCAGCAGGUCUUCAUCACUG